rnacentral:misc_RNA from 1 species
GGGGUACCAUCAGCUCUCUUCUUAUCCAGAUCUAUGAGGAUGUUUUCACUUUUUAUAUCACGAUGUAUGAUAUGCCUAGAAUGCAGCUCGGUCAAUGCACUUGCUACAUCGCGGGCAAUAAAUACCGACAGCUCAAUUGGAAGAUGCUUCUCACCAGCAUUAGAUAGCUUAUCUACAUGUUUCUUUAGUGAACCCCCCUUAAUAUGCUCCAUCAAAAUGGCAGACUGCAAUGUACGACUUUCUGAACUGC